UGUAUUUAAGGAAAAACUUUUUACUGUUUCUGCUCAUCAUAUCAAUUUCCAUUAAUAAUUCAGUUGGUAGAAAACAUCAUCUUGAUCUAAAGGAUGAGACUCGAAAAAGCAUACCUGUUAGUAUGUUCGGAUUUCUUCGAGGUGGCAUCUUGAAUGUUACAGUAUCUAACUUGGCAAUCUCGAAACAAGCACAAGAAACAUCAGGACUGGGGUUUAGCUUGGAUAGGACACUUAGUGAUGCUGCAAACCCAUACUUAGAUAGCAAACGGGAUAUCUGUAGUUCAAGAUUGGAAAUAAAUGAAGAACCAGAUCACACAGCUGUUGCUCGAUUUGAAUUUGAUUUCAAAGACAAAAUAUUUAAAGUUCGGUGCUCCAGCAGGUUUAAUUUCAUUGGCAACAUUAUUACUGUGGAUGACCCAAGAAAUUAAAAGAAAUUCAGUGGCUGAGAAACUUAGUGAUUCUAGUUUGUUCAGUCGAAAUGCUAGAACCAAAAGAAACAUACUUAAUGAAUCUCUAGAUGUUGCUGAGGCUUCAAAUGUUAGUGUUACUUGCAACACACUGAAAAUUCCACUUUCUUCUUCAGAUGGAAAUUCCUUUUCAACAAAUUUCACAGUAAACAUAAGACAUUCAGAAGAAGAAGGCAUGUACUUAACCUUUAUUUCCAUCGCUGUUUCAAUGACGAAAUAAUUCCCAUUAACCUAACCAUUGAGGUUACCGAAACCAACGGUGAUAUAAACUACCUAUCAGCUGAAACGGCAUGGAACUUUUUGCUGUUCCUCUUACAAAAGUAACUGGAUCGCGUUCGACGGCCGAUCGUUUCGC